GAUUCAAUAUUCGUCCAAACAUCCAAAUCUAGUCCUGUGGUCCAUUGCGGGCAAGGAAAUAAUGAAAUAAUUUGUCAAAAAUUUGUAAAAAACAACAAGAGAAGUCAAUUUUAAUUCCAUUAUAUCAAAAUAAAGGAGGGUCAAGAUUUGAAGUAAUAAAAAAUUUAGUACUUUUUUACGCAUGCUUAAAGGAAAACAGAAUGUUUACUCAACGUGAGCCUGAGAUAAAUUAAAAUCCCUUGAUUUUCUCUGAACUCUCUCUCCUCUCUCUCUCCUUUCCAACACACACAUACAUUCACAUGCCCUACCCUAUCAAACUUCCCAGAAGCAAGACGCCAAUGUUUCCCUUUGUAGCCGGAGGUCAGCCGAUCACACUCACAUAUAAGAUUAAAACUAUCUCCUUUGGUUUUGGUUUAAAACAUGGAGCAAAAUUUGAAGAUGGUGUACUUGAUCAUGUUAUUGCUUUCCAUAUGUGGUUUGUUUAUCUCAUCUGUUUUGGCUAACAAAGGCUCGUUAGUGAAGUUUGAGAAGUGUAGUCCCUCAGUUGGAUCAUGUCAGAUAAGCUGUCCAGUUGGGCUGCCUAAGUGUUGUAACGGUUUUUGCCUCUGUUUAGGAUGCCCUUAACUUUGAUUAUUGUAUUUAAUAUCAUAAAUAUAAAAGGUUGGUGUCCAAAUGUGUUUCUUUUUUUCUAUUAUGUUAUGUUUCGAAAUUGUAUUAUGUUAAACAUGAAAUGGU